GGAAAAGUGGCCCAGACAGCAUGCAUGUCAUCCUGCCAGCAUCUUUCAACAUCCCUAAUGCAGAUGCUACUGGACAGUGAAUUAAAACAAAUAAGCAUGGGAGCAAUUCAGCAGUUUAAUUUAGAUGUGAUACAAUGUGAACUGUUUGCUAGUUCUGAGCCUGUGCCAGGAUUCCAGGGAGACACCCUGCAGUUAGCUUUCAUCGACCUCAGACAACUCCUCUGAACAAGCAGAGAGAAGCAUGUUACAUCUGUAACAUGAAGCCCAGCCUCAGGGUGCUAUGUAAUGGGAUUUGCGCUUCUCUAGUUUUCAGUGCAAUGCUGCUUAUUCAGCUAAAGAAAGGAGCUCAGAUUUCAGACAGCAACAAAACAAGAGUUGCACCUCUUUGGAUUUCAGACCAUAGAUCCUGGCUCUGCUGGGGAAGGAAGCAACACUCUUGCUGGCCUUCCCCUUCUGCAUAAAUUGGCUCUGCACUAAAGCAGAAUGAGGGUUUGAGGCACACUGUGAGCAGAACAGGGAAACUUCAAGGCUCAAUAUCUUAUGUAUUUGCACCAUACAGGGUAGCACACAUAUGCAUACCUGUGCUCAAAAUUACACAGUUUUUUGAGUAUGACUGCAUGUUAAAUGUGUGCUAUCCAGAUUGCAAGGGACACACAAUGUCUUUUCAGAGUACUGUAUUCUUAAAAGUAAAUGUGAAUUGUUC